GAUGAACGCUAGCGGCAGGCUUAACACAUGCAAGUCGAGGGGUAGAGGCUUUCGGGCCUUGAGACCGGCGCACGGGUGCGUAACGCGUAUGCAACCUGCCUUAUACAGGGGAAUAGCCCAUGGAAACAUGGAUUAAUGUCCCAUAGGAUUACGGAUUCGCAUGGAUUUGUGAUUAAAACUGAGGUGGUAUAAGCUGGGCAUGCGUCUGAUUAGGUAGUUGGUAGGGUAAUGGCCUACCAAGACGACGAUCAGUAGGGGUUCUGAGAGGAUUACCCCCCACACUGGUACUGAGACACGGACCAGACUCCUACGGGAGGCAGCAGUGAGGAAUAUUGGUCAAUGGCCGGAAGGCUGAACCAGCCAUCCCGCGUGCAGGAUGACGGCCCUAUGGGUUGUAAACUGCUUUUGUACCUGAAGAAACCUGUUUACGAGUAGACAGUUGCCGGUAAGGUAUGAAUAAGCAUCGGCUAACUCCGUGCCAGCCGCCGCCGUAAUAC
rnacentral:rRNA from 1 species